AUGUCUUUACCAGUGCAGAUAUCGUGCUGUUGAGGAUUCAGAAGUAUUUCAGAAACUCUCAUGUAAACAUUAAAAACUGUGCAAUUUAAAUGCCACUAGCAUUUGAGAAUGGCUAUUUUAGAAAAUGAUGCAAGAACUGUUACAGUGCUACACCGUCCAACAUUUAUGUAUAAGAGACGCUGACAUUACUUUUUCAAUGAAAGAAACAUGACUUCAUAUGUCAAUGGCGACUUCCUUCAAAACAAAUCUCAAUAGUGCCUAUCAUUGUGGCCAGUAAAAAAAUAAAGCUAUUUAUCUGGUUUGUGUUUUGAUAUUGUACAAAUAAGCCUACAAAAGCAUGCGUCACUACUAAAUUGUGAAAAAGGCAAAUUACAAGGUUUGGAAGCUGAUUAAUUGUCCAUGUAUGCACUUUACAAUGACUUGUGCCACCAUAUAUGAAUAAAAUGCAUAUUAAAAAAUGCAUAUUACAGUCAUGGAAACCCACCAAUGGUGGAGGGACACUGUGUGCACAAAAACAUGGGUAAGAUUAUGUAGUUAUUUAUGUGUCUUUUUGAUGUAAGCAUGAAAGAGCAUAUUUCUUGCACUUUAACAUAUCAGUUGACUAUAAAAGUAUCUGGACUGCAAACAAGUUAUCCAUUACAUUCGUUUUGUUGACUUGUUGACUCACAGACUUCAGGAUUUUGAUUUCAAAGGAGAUCUCUUUUUUUAUGACAAAAAAAAAAGGUUUUGCUUGCAAGUUGAACUGGAUGAAAUGGAUGAGAUCUAUGCUGAUGGAUGAGGGUUUCUAUUGGUGGGUUUCACUUGUAUGUUUGUAAACACAAGACUGACCUCGGUCCCAGUAAACUUUAUUUCUUUCAAUGUAGCAUUCAUAUUCAAAAAACUUUAAUUGUGAAUUGUUAUGAGGAUUUCCCCGCUUUUGACAGAAUAUGAUUGCAGAAUGAUUCUAUGUGACACCUACGUUUCUUUCUAACUAACAUGAGUUAUGAGUGCCCCACUCCCUGAGAAAUCCAAUACAAAGGGGAACAUGUUUAGUAUUUCAAUGCUUACAGUCCACAAACAAACCAAAAAUCUGUCAAUACCCUCUAUAGUCUAACUUAAUACUUCCUCCUCUGCGGCAGCAAGCCAAUAAGGCCACUAUCAGGUCAUUAACUGUAUGAGUAAGCAGUGCCUGAAGGGAUCGCUCACUGGUCUAGGCAGUAAUGCAGGUUUAAACUCCCAUGGUUCACUUACCUUAAGAAAACGUGUGGCCUGAGGAAUGAAAACAUGUAUUAACAGUGUUCAGCUAUUAUGUUUGCAUCUGUGGAGGUGUUCACAAGAGAUUUCCUGUGUGUGGGUGUGUGUGUGAGCGUGUGCGUGUGUAGGUGUGUGUGUGUGUGUGUGUGUGAGCGUGUGUAGGUGUGUGUGUGUGUGUGUGUGUGUGUGUGUGUGUGUGUGUGAGCGUGUGUAGGUGUGUGUGUG
ensembl:lncRNA